rnacentral:rRNA from 1 species
ACGGAGGGUGCAAGCGUUGUUCGGAAUUACUGGGCGUAAAGCGCGUGCAGGCGGCCCAUUAAGUCAGAUGUGAAAGCCCUUGGCUCAACCAAGGAACUGCAUUUGAAACUAGUAGGCUUGAGUACGGGAGAGGAGAGUGGAAUUCCCGGUGUAGAGGUGAAAUUCGUAGAUAUCGGGAAGAACACCGGUGGCGAAGGCGGCUCUCUGGACCGAUACUGACGCUGAGACGCGAAAGCGUGGGGAGCAAACAGG